rnacentral:rRNA from 1 species
GACGAACGCUGGCGGCGCGCUUAACACAUGCAAGUCGAACGGAAAGGCCUGCUUUCCCUUGUGGAUUGCGGGUACUCGAGUGGCGAACGGGUGAGUAACACGUGAGUGAUCUGCCCCCAACUUGGGUAUAAGCCUGGGAAACUGGGUCUAAUUCCCGAUAGGACUGCAGGGUGGUGCCUGUGGUGGAAAACGAUUUUCUAGUGGUUGGGGAUGAGCUCGCGGCCUAUCAGCUUGUUGGUGGGGUAAUGGCCUACCAAGGCGGCGACGGGUAGCCGGCCUGAGAGGGUGGACGGCCACAGUGGGACUGAGAUACGGCCCAGACUCCUACGGGAGGCAGCAGUGGGGAAUAUUGCACAAUGGGCGGAAGCCUGAUGCAGCGACGCCGCGUGGGGGAUGACGGCCUUCGGGUUGUAAACUCCUUCCGACCGCGAGGAAGCCACCUGGUUGGAAGGGUGGUGACGGUAGUGGUAGAAGAAGCACCGGCUAACUACGUG